AUCACUUCUUGGCCUUUUCGCUUAGGUUAACUGUAAUAUUUGCUUUUGUCAGUUUAAUAUCCGAUACAUCCUCUAGCCAAAGACAUAUAUUAAAUAGAUUUUUGGAGCAGGGAGUGAGAUAUUCACCCCAUAUAUUGACCUGAUAUUGCAGGAAUAAAAAAAUACUA
rnacentral:snRNA from 1 species